UACGGAGGGUGCGAGCGUUGUCCGGAAUCAUUGGGCGUAAAGGGCGCGUAGGUGGCUUCUUAAGCGUGCGGUGAAAGCCUGGGGCUCAACCCCGGGUCGGCCGUGCGAACUGGGGGCUGGAGCACUGUAGAGGCAGGCGGAAUUCCGGGUGUAGCGGUGGAAUGCGUAGAGAUCCGGAAGAACACCGGUGGCGAAGGCGGUCUGCUGGGCAGUUGCUGGACACUGAGGCGCGACGAGCG
rnacentral:rRNA from 1 species